GAAGGACAUCAGAUUGAUAGAUCGUUGAACGCACGAAACACAGUCACAGGGGAAUAGGAGCGAAGACAGUAUGGGAGAGGACAAACAAACAGACACACCCACCUCUUCGGUCUCAAUCAUCAGGGUGAAUCAGCGAUCGAGUUCUCG
rnacentral:ribozyme from 1 species